GCACCAAUUGGGAGCAUGGGAAUAGCCGAUUUGGGUUGCUCAUCUGGGCCAAACACCUUCCUUCUCAUCUCCGAAAUAAUUGAUGCCAUACGUGCCACACGUAGGAGCUCGUCAUCAUUCACAGAAUUUAGAGUGUUUCUAAACGACCUCUUUAGCAACGACUUCAACACCGUUUUUAUGUCACUCCCGGCAUUCUACAACCAACUAAAGGAAGAACAUGGUGCUGGACUCGGGUCUUUCUUUGUCUCCGCCACGCCGGGCUCGUUUUACGGCAGGUUGUUUCCAGCCAAGAGUUUGCACUUCGUGCACUCUUGUUCUAGUCUUCAUUGGUUUUCUCAGGUCCCUUAUGGCCUGGAUCUCCAGGCAGCUGCCAAAGCGUUGAAAAAAGGAAAGAUUUGGAUUUCUAAGACCAGCCCUCAAUGCGUUUUGGAUGCAUAUUCAUUUCAAUUUCACAAGGAUUUUUCGUUAUUUCUCAAGUCCCGGGCUGAAGAAAUAAUUGGUGGGGGACGGAUGGUGUUGUCACUCCCAGGCAGGUCAUCCUCUGACCCAUCAACUCCAGAGUGCUGCUACCAGUGGGAUCUCCUAGCUCAUGCAUUAAUGACCAUGGUUUCAGAGGUACCUACAUAGAAAAUAUCCAAUAUUUAGUUUUAAGUUCCUAGCAAUUCUCUUCAUCUCCUAAGAAGAAUUUUCUUAAUAAUUUAACUUCUUUUUAUGAAUUUUUUUUUUUUGUUAUUGAGGAACAAUAAUUCAAGAAUCAAACCAUAGAAGAAAACCUCUGACCUAUCAACUGUUAACGUUGAGCGAAAUAAUAGUUGAGUGGGUAAUAAGAUUUGAGUUUACCUUUUUUUCUUCUUUUUUAAAAUGAUAUUCAAGUUUUUUAUUUUUUAUUUUUAUUUUUUUUACUAAGAAUGGAGUUUUAUAGACUGCUUUAUGAAGAACCCAUUUUUCUCUAUUUUUCACAAGUAAUGUUAUUUGGACAUACACAAGACACAUUACUUAAUACAGGCGAGACUCACACAUUAUGCCCACAUUUAUUAAAUAGUAUAUGAGUAAAUUUGUCAGCCUUAUCAUAUGUGUCCAAAUUAUUUUCUUAUCUUUCAUAAGCAUAUAUAUUUUAGCGUGUACAAAUACAAACUUAAUUUAUUGCCUAGUAACAUUUAGUAUAUGCAAUGGUAUAGGGUCUUAUCGAAGAGGAAAAGGUUGAUUCCUUCAACCUUCCGUACUAUGUCCCAAGUGAAGAGGAACUGAAGAUGGAGUUAGAAAAGGAAGGAUCAUUUAUAAUAGACCGCCUUGAAGCCUUUGAAAUUGAUUGGGAUGGUGGUGCAGAGAUAUCCGUUGUAGCCAGUGGACAGCGAGUGGCCAAGACCAUAAGAGCUGUGGUUGAGUCGAUGAUCGAAUCUCAUUUCGGAAAUGAUAUCAUGGAUGAUCUAUUUCGUCGGUACGCCGAGCUCGUCGCGGAUCACUUUUCAAAAUCUAGAACCAAGUUGCUCAAUUUGGUUUUGUCGGUCAUUAGAAAGGACUGAGUUUUCUUAAACUUCCCAAUCAAAUUUUUCGUCAACAGAUUAAAGAUCUGGUCUCAUUGUCAUUUUCUCAGUUAUGUUGUUGGAUUUUGUUUUAGAAAAUGUUAAGGGGAGAUCGUAUUUAAUAAAUUAUGUUUGUACCACUUCUCUAAUAAAUGUAAAACCUACUUGAAGAACCUUACUUGUAUCGGCGGUUCUACUUCUAUUAAAAAUUAGACAUGAUAUCUACUUGGAAGGACCCUACUUGAUUCGUUUUAGGAUGUAAUAUAAUUACGGGCUUGGCCCCAUUAUUCAUCCAGAUCACGUUGAGCACUCAGAAACUGAAUGGAUUGUUUUUUCUUUUUGGUGAAAGAAGCCCAAUCGACUUGUUUGCUGUGCGGACCUAAAUGGUUAAGUUACACAACCGUACUUUUUCGAAAAAACUACAUAAGCAAAAAGCGGAUUCGCACAUUUUUUAUUAAUUUAUCAUUUGAUUAUUUUCAAUGUAUUCCACUCAAAGGCUGAAAAUUAAAAAAAACAUGAAAAAUAAAAAGAAAUGUGUAGAUAGCACUAUUCAAUUUUAUAUGGUAUUCUAAAGUAUUUUUUAUUUUUUAUUUUUUAACCGUUAGAUCUCUGGUCAAAUCACACAAAAACUAAAAUCUAUUGGUUAUUAAUUAUUCUAUGCUUUGAAGCACCACAGAAUUUUUCUAAGGCUAAUAGCAUAAUAGUUCGGGUCAUGCAAACGAGGACCGAAACCAUGAAUGUGGGAUAAUACGGAGUUGACUUGUGGCUAGUGCAUUGAAUGAGAGAAAUAUCAAAAUUGGCUUUCACCCACAUUGCUAGUUAUACCAGGUGGUUGUGUUUUGGUAUUCCACACACUAAUUUUGUAUAAAAAAAGUUAUAUAUACAUCACAAUCAUUCGAAAAUAUUACACCCCACAAAUACAAUAUCAUUAUUUCGUAACAAUCUGAGAAUAGAUUGUCCUAAUUUUGUUAGCUAGCCUAUCAACAAUUGUAUUUCGUCUCAUGUGCACACAACACAUGGAAAUUAGGGACCUUGAUUCUUCAUCUCCCAUUUUCUCUCCCUUUCAGUCUCCUCUUAUUUGAACGUUUACGAUUAAGUCACAUCAAUAUCUUGUUUUGAUUUCUUUAUGAAAAGAGAAAGACAGAGAAAAAUGAGAGAGAAGCAAGCGAGAUUUAGAUGGAAAAGAAUCCUAAUCAAUCCACCAACAACAGAAAUUUGGUUCCUUUUUCUUUCUAAGAUUAGACCCAUACAAAGACUAAUAAAGAACCCAUAUUCUCCAUUUAUAUACACAGUAAAGGAUUCCCGAUUCUCAAAUUUGAAGACUUGAAGUUGACACAUUAAGGAUAUUCUUUGGAGCGUUGUAUUUGGCUGAGAUUAAUAAAUUAUAUGCGCUUUGCACUUGCCUAUCUUUUCCAAUUCUCUGAAAUCUGUCAUCCUUUUUUCAUCAAAUAAUUUAAGGCCGAAACUUUUGCAUGCGUCAUUAGGUGGCAAUUGCACGGUGGUGAAAAAUUUAAAACAUGAUAUUUAGAAUAUUGUUCGUACUCCCAACAACCUGCACGGACCUGGUCCCCUGCUCGGAAUCGUGGAUUACACAAAUCUCUACUAAAAUGAACAAUAGCUAGGCCCUGGGUUUCCGUUCGGCCACCUAUUGCGAUUGUUAAGUUCUCUUGGUGAAAGCUUGCAGAUCACGACUUUUUUUCUCUCAAGAAAAUAUAUACAUGUAGAGAAAACUCGAGUACAACCGAGUUCAGUACAAUCAAAGAGGAAAAUAUUCUAAACUUUCGAUGGUAAGGAAUGAUCCUAAAUAUGACAAUUUUAAAAACAUCAACAAAACUUGUAAUAGCAUCCGCAAGAAAGUUUGUCUAUCUGAAAACAAGAUUUCAAAUAAUAGUGUUAAAAGAUUGAAUAGUUUUAUUGGUGAUUUUUUGCGUCCAAAUAGUUUUAUUGUUGAAUUUUGUUUUACAAAAUGUUAAGAGAAUAUUACAUUUAGAGACUAUAUUUGUAUCACCGCUCUAAUAAAUGUAAAGCCUGCUUGAAGGUAUCAAUCGGUAGGUAUACUUCUGUUAAACAAGUAGUAUAAAUAUCGUCUAACAAAUAUGAUAUCUUAAUAACAUCACCUUUAUUUCUUCAAAUUAUUGUUGCAUUAUAAGUCUAUGUAAUCAAUUGGUGGAGUCGCGUUUCCAAAUUGGUGGGAACAUUUGACUGUUGUCAGAUAAAUGUGGAUAGACCAACACGAUUAAAUUAGGUGAUUAACAUGCAAAUUGCAAAGGAUUUAAGCACAUGUUUCGAAUAUUUGGCAUUUGUCAGAUAUAUGUGGAAGACCAACACGUUUAAAUUAAGUGAUUAACAUGCAAAUUGCAAAGAAUUUAAGCACAUAUUUCGAAUGUGUAUAUGCUCCCUGGUGCUGCGAGAAUACAUGCGUGCAGGGAUAAAAAAAAUGUGGUCACCGACAUCAGUUGAUUUUUGAGAACUUUAACGAAAAAAUUCCGAUAUUAUUCACUUUAACGAAAAAUUACAUUUUUACACUAAAAAGUUAAUCAUGGUAAUAUUCACUUUACCCUUUAUUUUGUCUUUAUCGUUACACUUUACCCUUUAUUUUGUCUUUAUCGUUAAAACUCAAAGUUUUCAAACUCUUUUCAUUAGUUUUCCUUUGAUUUUUUUGGAUUCCUGUUUCCACUCAUUUAAAAAUCAGCAUUGACUUUUUUCUUGUAACUUUUAAUUAAGCAUGUUGAAUAUUAUGUGGAGCAAUAACUGAGUUUAUUUUUUUAUUUAUACAUUGUAUUGAUUGGCCCUUGACAGCGAUUCUCGUAUUUACAAUUAGGGAUUGGAAGUCUAACGUUGAAGAAAAAUAAAAUUCAAAACCCAAGCUUCAUUGUUCUUUGUUUAAUUAGUUAAAUUGCUGCUUCUCUAUGUUGAUUGUUGAGUUUUUUUUUUUAUUAUUUAAGAAAAUAGUAUAUAUUAUUGAAAAACUCAUCCAAUUCAUAAGGAUGGAGAAAAAACCGGAGCUAACAUACAUUUCGGGAAAAAAAAGAAUUAGGCAAGCUCUGUACUAAAUGCAUAGCUUUACUCUCUUAUCUGUACCAUAGGAACAUAAAGAAUUAUAGAGUGCGUUUAUUAUCUAUUAAAAUCUUUUAAAACCUAUCAUUUAAAAAAAUCUAUUAAAAUCUUUUGAAAUCUAAAUUAACUACACCUAUAAAAAAACACUUUAAUAUCUCUCUCAUCGAAGAACUUAUAACAAAUGGUUGGACCGCGUGCAAAACGAGUACAAGCAAUUCUGCUCAGAAUUAAUUGGAUUUAACUUUUCACGUAUUAGAACUAAUCUUCAAAAAAGUAAUUUAAAUAGGCGUCAUGCUAAUAAUAGAGGCAAAUCAGGCAUACAGAAAUAGAUAAUUAAAAACUUCCACUAUUUUUGGGACUUGAAAGAGGUAUAUGUAGAAAACAUAAUGCUAGGGAGACCAAAAUUUUAAACUAAAUUUACAAAUCAAAUAAGGGAUGUUUUAUUGGCAUCCCACAAUCUUAUAAAUACACCCCACACUUAAAAUUGUUCUUUUAAAUUUCAAUUUUAAGCCUACUUCUACUGAAGCCACCCCACAUGUUCAAAACAACAAUAACAUUUCACCUAAUUGACAUCUCGCUCACCCUCCGCCACUUCGUCGAUCCAUGCUAAGCACUCCAUUCCCUCACCUUCCCUUCCCCCUUCCCUCCCCGUCGUUCUGCGAGGCCUUUAGCAGUUUGUAGAAACUGCAAUUUCAGACGCCAUACUCAAGGAUGUCUACUUGAUGACUAUGGGCAAGAAAACAUAUGGAAAGUGCUUCUGUAAUAUAAGGUCGGCAUAUGUUUGGGUAAAUGAAGUUGUCAGGACCAUCUUCUUAUAACAAUUGAAUUAUUGAGAUCAGUGGAAUUCGUUAAUGGUGGUGCAUGUUAUUUGGAUGUUGCGAAGGGAAUACGUGGUGCAUUUGUGGUUGCUGAGUUUGUUUUUUUUUUCUUUCUCAAAUUUAAAUAAGGGUAAAAGAGGUAGUUCAACAAGAAUUCAAAAAAUGGGGUGUAUUCAUAAGAUUGUGAGGUGUUAGUAAAAAAACCCAUCAAAUAAUGUGGUACCAAUAAAAAAUAAAAACAUUAAUCAACACAUUUAAUAAUCUAAUCAUCAAUAUCCACUUAAUUUGAUUUACAAAAUUUAAUUUAGAAGUUUGGUCCCUCAAGCAUUAGCCAUGUAGAAAAGUGGGAUUUUGUCUGGAUGUUGUAUUUUGGCCUUAGGUCAUGUUAGGGUUACAUUGUAAACUUACAAGGCCAAAUUUUUUUUGUGGUUCCUGUGGUGACACACUACUUUCAAUGUCACCCUUGUGAUGAAAAAGUUGUUAAUUAAAUUAUCGUGGUGAACCCUAUUAGCAAUUGAGAUCCAAAUCCAAACUUCCGUUAGUCUUUCAUUAUAUAAACUCAUGUGACUAUCAUAUGGAUCGGUCAAAUACAUCAUUUCAAUCCAAAUUACAUCAUAUUCCAUGGACAUCUAGUAUGACUUAGGUAUACGCUUGUUCUUUUUGCGUGAGUUAUGACAAACACCUGUUUUUCUUGUGAGUUAAAAAGUUGCAAUAUGAUUCCAAUGCACAAGCAAAUUGAAACAAGUGAAAAUGAGAGAUAAUUUACAAGAAUAGCUUAAAGAAUAAAAGACAACAAGUGAACGACGUUGCAGUUUCUGCAUUCAGACGAGUGAAAGGCAUUACAGAAUUAAAGAAUUGAAGACAAUGGGUGAAAGGCAGUGCAGAAAAUUCAAUUUUCACGUCUGCCCUCUUCAUAUGAACUUCAAGAGAGAAAGAAACGUAAAUAAUUUAAAUUCAAAGAAGAUUAAGAAAAAAAUUGAAAGGUUGUGUACUGGCCAACUACGGCGUGCAUCAAACCACACUACCAAUUGAAGACAAAAUUGAAAGACAUAUAUGCAUUCGGAUUGGUACAAAUUGAUACAAGAAUGAAAAUUCAACUAAGACUAAGAUUCUAACUCAUGAUCAAAGGCAUGUUGGCAUUGAAAAAAAAAACAAUAGUUUAUUAGAAGUAUUAUGAUUUCCAAACGAAAUUAAAUCAUACCUAAGAAAUUAUACGCGGCUUCACUUUCACCUUUUCUCCUAGCCAUUGACGUGGUUUUACAGGUUUAGUUUCACUCUUUACAUUCAAGCUUUUUUCUAUGAAAUAUAAUUCCGUUAAACCCUAACUCAUACUAGAUGUCCAUGAAAUGGGAUGUAAUUUGAAUUAAAAUGACGAAUUUGACCCUCCAUGUGAUAGUCAUUUGAGUUUAUUUAACGGAAGACUAACGAAAGUUUUGAUUUGAAUCUCAAUUGUUAAUAAAGCUUAUCACGAGAGUUUAAUUAAAAGUCUUUUCAUCACAAGGAUCACGAAAAAAAAAUGGCCAACUUAACUUGAUGUAUGUGGUCCUGCACGUGACAUAAUUGGCCAACUUAACUUAAUGUAUGUCGUCCUGCACGUGACACAUUGCACACAGCAUAGUACGCAGUAAGAGUUGCGUUAUAAACUUUUGCAUGUAUGUGGUCCUGCACGUGACACAUGGCACACAACAUGGUACGCAGUGAUCAAUGACGACUUGUGUGGUUGCAGUACUCCCGCAUGGGAGAUGGAACAUAGCACACGCAGUAAUAAGUUGGGACGUUUGUGGUUGCAGUGCUCCCGCAUGGUCCGACAUGGGGUCUAUAUAUUCACACCAGCAUCAUUUUAAGGUUUCAUAGGGUUUUGUGUGACUCCAUCUGUGGAGAAGACGGGGCUGACUUGACUAGGGGAGACUGAGAUGGAGGUGCUGCAAGUACUUCACAUGAACCAAGGGAACGGCGAGACUAGUUAUGCUCAAAACUCUACAGUUCAGGUACAAAUUAAUUUUUUAUUUUAACGACAAGAAUGCGUUAGGAUAAUGUACGAAGGAUAUUAAUCGUGUCCAACUACAAAUCAGGGCCAAAAUUAACUCAUUAAUAUUGUCUUUCGUUAACUAUAUGUCUUUUAUUAUUUUAUUAUUAUUGCAUAGAUCUCCUUUAGUUAAUCUAAUUAUUUGUCUUUUGUAGGGAAAAAUAUUAUCUAUAGCAAAGCCAAUCAUUGAUGAAGCUGUACAAAAAUUGUUGUGCUCAAAUAUAGCAGCAAUUGGGAGCUUGGGAAUAGCCGAUUUGGGUUGCUCAUCUGGACCAAACGCCUUCCUAAUUAUCUCUGAGAUAAUUGAUGCCAUACAUGCCACACAUAGCAGCUCAUCAUCAUCCACAGAGUUUAGAGUGUUUCUAAACGACCUCUUUAGCAACGACUUCAACACCAUUUUUAUGUCACUCCCGGCAUUCUACAACCAACUGAAGAAAGAAAAAGGUGACAGAUUCGAGUCUUUCUUUAUCUCCG
rnacentral:lncRNA from 1 species